ensembl:lncRNA
AUCCCCUCCAUCCCUCUGGUCACCUCUGCCACCACCUGCCCCUCCCAUCGUAGCCCCUCCUGCCCCCUGACCCUCUGCUGUCCCCUCUGCCACCCUCCCUGAGCCCCCAUGUCCCUGCCAUUCCCCACUGGCCCCUCCCCCCUGUUGCUCCUCCACCCCUCUGUCACCUCCCCUCUUCCUAUCACUCCCUCCUUUCGCCUUUGUGUCCCCCUGUCCCAUUCGCCACCCCGUGUCCUCUCCAUCCCCAAUUGCCCCCUCCCACUCCAGUGUCCCCUCUGUCCUCUUCCCCCCACCCCCCAUUGCACCUCUUGGAGCUCCACGCUCACUGGGGACACGUUGGGGACACCUUGGGGACACUCCUGGGGUUGAAUGAGCUUUGGGAUGUCCUCGAUGGCUCUUUGGCACCGCUCGUCCACCCCACAGGCACUGGGGCUGGCAGGACCAGCAGUGAAACAGAAGUCGAUGAUGUCUCAAACUGCUCCCUCCAGGUAAUCCUUGGCCAGGUGGGUGUUGGCCUCCCACAGCCACUUGGUCACAGCCACCUUGGCCACCAAGUCGUCUGGGACAUUGGGGAAUGCUUAUUUGUCCCCUCCAGGGCAGCCUCGAUGUCCCUGAGCAGGCGCUGCAGCUCCCGGGGGAACACGGUGGCUUUGUCACACAUGGCCACCAAGCGCUCCAGCAGCCCCAGGGCCGCCUCCGCCCGCUGUCCCCUCUUGGUGGCCACCUCUGCCCGGCUGCGGGCCACCACAGCCUCUGUCAAUGCCAUGGUGGCCGCCACUAUCUCGCUGCCAGCUGCCAUCACCCGGGCCUCGUGCACAGCACUUGCCGAGGCCUCCACCUCCAUUUCCAGGGCCAGUGGCAGCUGCCGGGCUGUGGUCACCAGGUUUCUGUGAGCUCUCCUCCAGUGGGUGGCCUUUUCCUGCAGGUCCCCAGCCUGGGCUGUGGCAGUGGCUGCUGUAGUGGCCUCAGCAGCCUCCCUGCAGGUGUCACGGAGCUCGGUGGCCUCUCUGGCCAGCCAGUCCCAGCUGUCCAUGAGCUUGGCCACUGACUUCUGCCAGGCGCUGGUCACAGCUGUCACAUCGGCCCAGGUGGUCCCAGGUAUUCUCUGAGGGUGGCCAGGGCCCGGCCCAGGGAGGGGACACCAGGGUGGCCCAAGGAGGUGACACUGCCGUGAUUCACAGUCCUAUGGAGUCUCCGGGUGAGUCUCCUCAUGUCCUCAUGCAGGGAGUUUGGGGACAUGUGCAGGCACUUGGCCCUGUGUGGCCUGGUCAUGGUGGCCACCAGCUUGCCCAGGGUGGCCACCAUGGCCACCAUCACCUCCAGCUGUGAAGGAGAUAGCUGUGGAGGGGACAGGGGAGAUGUCAGGGACCUGGUGGCACUUGCGACUUCCCAGGGUCCCCCUUGUCCCCACCCUGGAGGGCUCUGCUGUCCCUUCUGUCCCUUUGCAACCCCCUGUCUGCUCCUACCACCCCUGUGCCCCUGUGCCACCUCUCAUGUCCCAUCUGUGGGGACAGGGGGACACUGCACAUGUGGCACCAGGGACACGGCACUACCACCAGCCCAGUGGCUCCAGUUCUGUCCCAGGCAGGUGGCACUUGAAGGGCUCUUGGUGACACACGGAGCUGCUGGCACUCGAAGAGCUGGUGGCACUUAGGGAGCUUUUGGUGGCAUGAGUUGCUGGUGACACUUGAGGAACUGGUGGUGCUUGAGGAGCUCUUGGUGGCACUCGUGAAGCUGGUAGCACUCAAGUGUCCACACAUCUCUCCACAUACAUCACUGCCCUGAUGAUGUCACAGCGGUGACAUCACUGUCCCCGGAGCAGCCUUGGGAUGUCCUCGAUGGCUCUUUGGCACCGCUCGGCCACCGCACGGCUGCUGGGGCCACCGGAUCCACCAUGGUCACCACAGGGACUCAAGAGGAGGUUGUGGAUGUCCCCAAGUGUGCCCAAGAGGUGAUCCUUGGCCAGGCGGGCACUGGCCCCCCACAGCCGCUCAAACUUGGCCACUUUGGCAACCAAGGCCUGCAGGACUUCAGGGGACAUCUCAUUU